ACGUAGUGUGAAUUGCAGAAUUCCGCGAAUCAUCGAGUCUUUGAACGCAAGUUGCGCCCGAGGCUUGUCCGAGGGCAUUUCCGCUAGAGCGUCACCGCGCCCCCCACCGAUCCACUCCCGCCGCGAGGCGCGAGUCGGGUCGAGUGCAAGUGGCCGUCCCGGCGAAGCGGCCUUCUUUCACGAGGAGGCNUCACUUUUCUAAGGGUCGGCUGAAAUGGAUGGAAUUGGGCCGCCGUGGUGACACAGUCCGCGAUCGGGUGAUUUUGUCGCGAGCCUCCUUCGGGAGGCUCUUGGUGAAUUUUUCUAAGUGCUUGGCUGCGUCCCCCAGUUGGCUCGGGUUACCUCAUGCAGGUCGAGCGCGCCCCCGCGGCGCGCUGUCACGCAUCAGACCUCUAAUCGGAAAAGACUACCCGCUGAGUUUAAGCAUAUCAAUAAGCGGAGGA
rnacentral:rRNA from 1 species